UCACACGAAACAAAUGUUUUACUCAAUCAUUUAACCCGGCGUUUAAUCGGUGAUCGCGCGAACCCAAACUGUCACCUAACAAAUCACUUUAAGACCAAAACCCAGCGAACCUUGCACGUCUUUUGAACGUGCACAACUCUCUUUUCUCUCUAGCCGCAGAUAACUGAACAUCUGGUAGACGUUGAUUCCCGGUUGUGGUUAAGAAGUUAUUAAAAAAAAAAAAGGUAAUAAAGCACGUCAAGGUCAUAAAAGAUCGUAAUAUUAUCAGUCAGCGCGAUUUGCAAGCCUAUUCGUCGUGUGAACGAUUGCGCAGUAAGAAAAAUUAAUAACGUCACAUUGCGCAAAAAUAACGACUAGACAGGCGAUGCUUAUCCGUCCAAAAAAUAUGAAACUUGACUGCCCAAUAAUUUCAUGUUACUCAAGAGUGAUCGGACUUUCAGCAAAUCCGGUUAGUCAAAGAAGUAAUUACAUCCUUAUCAAUGCCGGCUGAUAAGAUUAAUAAAAAAUGAUCCCUCAUCUACUUUAAUCGUCCUAAGAUAAAAUACACUCGUGCGACGAUCAAUGUCCCAGCGAUUAUAAUUACACGUGAAGUUACGUCUAUCUCGAGCAAACGUAACACUGACCUUUAAGCUGUUUAGCCUUCGGUAUAUAGAGACUGAAAGGAGGGGGGAAAAAAUGUGAUCAGAGAAGGAAACACGACCUGAAACAUAUUUUAUGCACUAUUUGGCGCGCACGUUUCAUUCACGCGACUGUAUCCGAUGGGCACAAUGAAUAAUUCAUCCAUCAUAAAUAAUUCUACGUGAAUUCAAUUAGACUUCAGCAAAGGGACGAUGUCGUGAUUGUUAUUAUUAUUUUCUUAAAUAUCCGUAAUAUAUACGCAUGGGAAUUGUAAGGUGACCACGUGCUCGCUGCUUGUCAAUCCUCAAUCUACGUCGUUACUCAAGGACCAUCCUGGGUCAGCUAGGUCAUGGCUGGUUCGAUGUAUCGAUCCUACAUAUUGUACAACGGCGCCAUCUACAAGGAGCAGGAAACACUGUCGCAAUAUUGCACGAGUAGACGUAAACGAACGUAAUACAAAGCCUAACAAUGGUAUGCGUGAAGUAUGAAUGACGCCCAAGCACCCACAGUUACUAAAUAAAUUGAUAAAAUGAAUGAAGGCAAAUAUUGUUAUAAAUAUUCCGUAUCUAUUCGGAUCAAAACACCAUAGCAUGUGACUACAAGGACUCUACCUAAAGUGAAAUGGAUUGUAGAAAAAUUAUAAAAAUUGUGGGAUAUCUAA